rnacentral:rRNA from 1 species
UACGUAGGGCGCAAGCGUUGUCCGGAAUUACUGGGCGUAAAGCGCGCGUAGGCGGCUUUGUAAGUUAGAGGUGAAAGCCCGGAGCUCAACUCCGGAACUGCCUUUAAGACUGCAUCGCUAGAAUUGUGGAGAGGUGAGUGGAAUUCCGAGUGUAGAGGUGAAAUUCGUAGAUAUUCGGAAGAACACCAGUGGCGAAGGCGACUCACUGGACACAUAUUGACGCUGAGGUGCGAAAACGUGGGGAGCAAACAGG